UAGGGAACGAUCUGUGUCACAGCCAUGCCAGGGCCACCAUAUCUGUGCCCUCAGCCAAUGCCAGAGGAGAGUGAUCUGGGCCAUGAUGUGUGCUGCAAGAGCAGAAGUGUUGUUAAAAAAAUGCAAACCCCUCCACUUGCCAAGAUGCAUGUGUACUUAGCUAUUUACAGCUUUAAAUGAGAAAAUAAGCCUUCUUAGAAUUCUGAAAAUGUUGAAUUUGUUUUUCCCAGCUGGAGAGUGGGGUUUGCUUCAUUUUACAAAUAUGUCUAUGUCAGAAUGUUCUUCAGCGUUUUGCCAGGAAUCUGUGCUGCAUGCUACGGAGUUCAAUGGAAGGAAAGAGGAUUGACUGACUCUCCCUUUGGCAACUGCUGCAUCCACCUGAUGAUUGAAAUAGACAUGGUGAUUCUAGGACAUGAUUAUUCCUGUGGAGAGAAAAGAAGAACAGAUGAUUAAACAGUGAAUCCUAAGAUUUCUCCAUUCCUCUUUUUUUUUUGUAUAUUCCUAACAGUUGCACACAAAAGGUGACCUUCCUUCUGAAAGUUUUCUGCAUCAUAUGCCUAGGGCUGCUAUUUGGAUUCAUAUGAGUUCAGAUGACCAUCAUGCACAGAGAAAAUGACAAUUUGUUCCAUAAUUUCAGUAUUGGGGAUUUCAGUUUUCUGUUUAGAUUGUUAUUUUUUUUUCUCCAGUAAAAAUGGAAUACAGAAAACCAGGACAUAUUAAAUAAAUGGAAUUUCUUUCAAAGUGA